UACGUAGGUGUCAAGCGUUGUCCGGAUUUACUGGGCGUAAAGAGCGCGCAGGCGGUCGUUCAAGUCGCGUGUGAAAGCCCCCGGCUCAACUGGGGAGGGUCACGCGAUACUGAUCGACUCGAAGGCAGGAGAGGGUAGUGGAAUUCCCGGUGUAGUGGUGAAAUGCGUAGAUAUCGGGAGGAACACCAGUGGCGAAGGCGACUACCUGGCCUGUUCUUGACGCUGAGGCGCGAAAGCUAGGGGAGCAAACGGG
rnacentral:rRNA from 1 species